GACAGGGGAUGCAAGCGUUAUCCGGAAUGAUUGGGCGUAAAGCGUCUGUAGGUGGCUUUUUAAGUCUGCCGUCAAAUCCCAGGGCUCAACCCUGGACAGGCGGUGGAAACUACCAAGCUAGAGUACGGUAGGGGCAGAGGGAAUUUCCGGUGGAGCGGUGAAAUGCGUAGAGAUCAGCAGGAAUACCCGUGGCGAAGGCGGCCCCCUGGGCCGAACC
rnacentral:rRNA from 1 species